UAACUUUACUAGAACAGACAGUGUCAUACAGAGUUGUGGGUUUAUAUGCACUACCUAUUUCCUAAUCUGAAAUGAUUAUGCUCUGAUUAACUUUGAACUAAUAUUUUAUUUUUACCAUUUAAAAGUCUGUUAAUUACUUAACCUGGCCCAUGUAUGACUUUACAUAUCUGUGUAUUGGUUUCAUGUUCCUCUAGAAGGUCCAACUUGACACACAACUUGAAUCCAACCAGACUGAACACUGACUCCAGGGACAGACGAGCCUGAAGGACACAGCUGUGAUGACCAUGUUCUGUCUCUUAUGGCAAAGCAGAAAUAUAAAACACUGGGUUCUUAUCUAAAGUGUUUCAAAUCAGAUCUCCACCAUGUUGCUGCUGAGGACAUCAGUUGUCUUCCAGUUGACCAGCAUGAAGCUGCAGAUCUCCACCAUGUUGCUGCUGGGGACAUCAGGAGCUGCAUUAAUGAGGAGCAGAAGCGUACUGUUAUGAAUGUUUUGUGUUGUUUAUGAAGCACUACUUAUUUCAGCUAGAACCGAUGUACUAGGGUCUGGGUUUGUAUCCUAAUGGUUAAAUGCACAUACUUUAAAUCGCUUUUGAUAAAACGUGACAAAGAAAUACAACAUUGUACACAUAGAUAAAAUGUCUUUCUACCUCAUCUGUAAUAUUCAAGGUGAUGAUCUCCCACAGAGCUGUUGAUAACAGUCCACAUCAAGUCUCUCCACUUCCCUCAGUGUGAAAACAUAAUUAUAUAAUUAAUUGGAGAAGUGUUUACAACACUGAUGUGUGGACAUUAUAAUGUUAUCACUACUGUCUAAUUCACUCUACAACUCCAUGACAGACUAAAUAAACAAUGUGAAAAUAGUAAUGGCGGAUAUACCAUCCUGUAUCAGAAUAUUGGUGAAACAGUUACUAUCACAUGAAACGUACACGUGUAGCGUAUUGAUAGUAACUCAUUAAAAAAAAUAAUGUCACAACCAAAACAAGACUGUCGAGUUAUCUUGCUUC